UUUAACAUUUUUAUGACUUUGAUGAUCAGCAGAAUGAAUACUAGCAGAAGUAUUACAAGCUUUGGCUUGUAAAUACUUUUUAUUUCUGAACUUCUUGUGAAUUUAUUUAUUUAAUAGAAAUUUAUAAAAUCAGCAGAUACAUUCAAACAGAUUGAUUUUUCUAAGCCUUUACAAUGUGCUAUCCGUGUUGCAACUGCCGUGGACCUUUUUGCUGUUGGCCUACUCCUCGACAAUGGGAGCAACGCUUUUCAGCAAGUGAGCAUCUAGUUACUCGAUUACAUGCUUUCUUGUAAUACAAACUACAAACUAAAGCUGAGUAUGCCAAAGCAAAAAUGGAAUCGCUGAAGAAGCUUAUAUCCGGCCGUUUCUUCAUAUUUCAUUAAUCCUUUGAAGCAUUUUAUAUGAUUUGAUGACGUACACGGAUAUACACUAAAUAAUGGAAUUGAAAACAAAUUUUAUCGAACUUUGACCAAAUUUAUUAAGUACAUAAAUUGAUAAUGAAAUAUAAAUUAUUGUAA